AUGGACGCCCGGGUGUCACCAGCGCUCUCUCCGGAUCCACCUGCUGGUCCUCACAACAUCCAGAGCAGGGGGAACAGAGCCAGGAACCAGACAAGCAACGGGAUCCGAGGCCUUCGUCCUAUCCGCCUGCACAGUCUGAUCCUGUCCACUUCCAUCCUCCCUCGCCUUAUCACUAUCCUCUACUGCGCCCCGCGCGCCCUUUUUGACCAAUUCCAACUCACCAGUUGUCGUCUGUUCGACCGCCUGCGCCACCAACUCUGGCCGCUCCACCAAGCUGCGCAGCAGACCGUUGGGGGCCCUGGUCGGCUCCCCCACCACCCGAUUGGGCACCUCCCGAUUCGGUCCCCUCUGACCCGGCAAUGUCAUGGGGGUAGCCUCCAAUCUGACGGGCCCACCCGCCCCAUGAGAACCUGCGGGAACGAACGACCAUCACCACCCGCCGCCGGAGUGACGCCGGAGCGAUCCAAACCUCGGCGGUCCCGGACACCUCUCGUCCAAGAUUGCACAGACCAAUCUCCUCCUGCAAACGAUCCAUCCGAGCUAUCAGGCAAACCGCUCUGCCCACUGUCACUGUCCGCGUCCGAGCACCGUCUCCACAUCUCUGGUGGCGAGAAAUCCCUGAGCCUCCCAAUGUGGAUCAGCAUGGGGUACUCCAACAGCUGCCGGAAAGCUGGCCACUGCUUCGCAGGGUUCGUCGACACCGGCUCCGGCACCCAUAGCCGGCGACAGACCGGAACCACAUCGGGAUCCACACACCACGCCCUCAGCUUGAAGACUGAGAGAUCCUCGCGGUUCUUCGUCUCCGGCACCAGACUAUCGAUCAGGCAAGAGCUGCCGAGCAGUUCCGCCGCCGUCUCCUUGGUCCAUGUGUGGGAAGGCACCCCCUCGAUCAGGAUGUUAGCCUAA
rnacentral:rRNA from 1 species